rnacentral:rRNA from 1 species
AGUCGAACGGUCCUUCGGGAUAGUGGCGGACGGGUGAGUAACACGUGGGAACGUACCCUUAGGUUCGGAACAACACAGGGAAACUUGUGCUAAUACCGGAUGAGCCCUUCGGGGGAAAGAUUUAUCGCCUUUGGAGCGGCCCGCGUCUGAUUAGCUUGUUGGUGAGGUAAUGGCUCACCAAGGCUACGAUCAGUAGCUGGUCUGAGAGGAUGGCCAGCCACACUGGGACUGAGACACGGCCCAGACUCCUACGGGAGGCAGCAGUGGGGAAUCUUGCGCAAUGGGCGAAAGCCUGACGCAGCCAUGCCGCGUGGUUGAUGAAGGUCUUAGGAUUGUAAAAUCCUUUCACCGGGGACGAUAAUGACGGUACCCGGAGAAGAAGCCCCGGCUAACUUCGUGCCAGCAGCCGCGGUAAUACGAAGGGGGCUAGCGUUGCUCGGAAUUACUGGGCGUAAAGGGCGCGUAGGCGGACAGUUAAGUUGGGGGUGAAAGCCCGGGGCUCAACCUCGGAAUUGCCUUCAAUACUGGCUGUCUUGAGUACGGGAGAGGUGAGUGGAACUCCGAGUGUAGAGGUGAAAUUCGUAGAUAUUCGGAAGAACACCAGUGGCGAAGGCGACUCACUGGCCCGUUACUGACGCUGAGGCGCGAAAGCGUGGGGAGCAAACAGGA